GGGCCCGCACAAGCAGUGGAGCAUGUGGUUUAAUUCGAUGAUACGCGAGGAACCUUACCAGGGCUUAAAUGUAACGGGACAGAUCUAGAGAUAGAUCCUUCUUCGGACUCAUUACAAGGUGCUGCAUGGUUGUCGUCAGCUCGUGCCGUGAGGUGUCAGGUUAAGUCCUAUAACGAGCGCAACCCCCAUCGUUAGUUGCCAACGAGUAAUGUCGGGAACUCUAACGAAACUGCCGGUGCAAACCGUGAGGAAGGUGGGGAUGACGUCAAAUCAUCACGGCCCUUACGUCCUGGCUACACACGUGCUACAAUGGUCGGUACAGAGAGCAGCCACUACGCGAGCUUCAG
rnacentral:rRNA from 1 species